AGGACGAACGCUGGCGGCGUGCUCAUACAUGCAAGUCGAACGAGAAAUUACCUUCGGGUAAUGGAAAGUGGCGGACGGGUGAGUAAAAUGUAGAGAAUCUGCCCUAGAGAGUGGGACAACAGAGGGAAACUUCUGCUAAUACCGCAUAUGAGCGUAGCUGGAAUGCUAUUCUUGAAAACUCCGGUGCUCUAGGAUGAGUCUGCAUCUGAUUAGCUAGUUGGGGGUGUAAUGGACCACCAAGGCGACGAUCAGUAGCUGGUUUGAGAGGAUGAUCAGCCACAAUGGGACUGAGACACGGCCCAUACUCCUACGGGAGGCAGCAGUAGGGAAUUUUGCGCAAUGGGGGAAACCCUGACGCAGCAAACCGCCGCGUGAUUGAAGAAGCCCUUCGGGGUGUAAAGAUCUGUCACAGGGGACGAAACAAUGACGGUACCCUGAGAGGAAGCAUCGGCUAACUCCGUGCCAGCAGCUGC
rnacentral:rRNA from 1 species